rnacentral:rRNA from 1 species
UACGGGGGGGGCAAGCGUUGUUCGGAAUUACUGGGCGUAAAGGGCGCGUAGGCGGCCUGCUAAGUCGGAUGUGAAAUCCCUCGGCUCAACCGAGGAACUGCAUCCGAUGCUGGCGGGCUUGAAUCCGGGAGAGGGAUGUGGAAUUCCAGGUGUAGCGGUGAAAUGCGUAGAUAUCUGGAGGAACACCGGUGGCGAAGGCGGCAUCCUGGACCGGUAUUGACGCUGAGGCGCGAAAGCUAGGGGAGCAAACGGG